rnacentral:rRNA from 1 species
AGCGAACGCUGGCGGCAGGCCUAACACAUGCAAGUCGAACGAACUCUUCGGAGUUAGUGGCGGACGGGUGAGUAACACGUGGGAACGUGCCUUUAGGUUCGGAAUAACUCAGGGUAACUUGAGCUAAUACCGGAUGUGCCCUUCGGGGGAAAGAUUUAUCGACCUUGGAGCGGCCCGCGUCUGAUUAGCUAGUUGGUGAGGUAAAGGCUCACCACGGCGACGCUCAGUAGCUGGUCUGAGAGGAUGAGCAGCCACAUUGGGACUGGGACGCGGCCCAAACUCCUACGGGAGGGGGGAGUGGGGGAUCUUGCGAAAUGGGGGAAAGGCUGACGCAGCCCGGCCGGGUGAAUGAUGAAGGUGGUAGGAUAGUAAAAUUCUUUCAUCGGGGACGAUAAUGACGGUACCCGGAGAAGAAGCCCCGGCUAACUUCGUG